GCUGACGUGAGUCUGAAGAUGAGACACAAAAUGGUUAGCUAUUCCGUACAGCACAUGGCCAGCAGCCUCCUGCUACAAUAUUUACGUCCUAUUCCAUUGAGGUGGCACUCUCAGCUCACGUGACCCGAAUGCAGUUCUCACUCCACCAAGAGCACAGCUGAAUGCAAUCUGCAUUGGCAGCUCUGCACAUGCUCCGACUGGCCCUGUGACUCCUCACUCACCCAUUGAGAUUUCUGUUGGUUUUAAAGCGACGUUCCAGCUGCUAAAGCUCCGUGAGCUGCAGCAUUUUCCUGGCUCUCAUCCAAAGCAGGUGAUCCCUAGACCUGGAUACUUUUUGCCAUUCUCAUGGUAAAUGGUGAGACAAGCUACCAUGGAUUUCAG
rnacentral:lncRNA from 1 species